UUUAUUUCAUGUUGCGUGAGGGUGUCAAGUUCCCUGAUGCCCUGGAACUGGAGUUACCAACACUUGUGAGCUGCCAGGUAGAAUUGUUUUAGAGUGGGUGGAACUGAAGCCUGGGAGGCCUGCAGAAGACUGGACUCUGCCCCAGAGAGGUUGCUAUAAUCCAAGCAAUGGCGGGAGUCCUUCUUAAAUUCUACUGUGCAACGACAUCACACAGGAUCUUGUCAAGGGACAGAUUCUGACUCAGCAGCACAUCUGGCGUGGGGGUCUAAAAGCCUGUAUUCCCAGCCCUUCCCUGGACUAUGAUGAAAACUGAGGAGGUGGCUGGACUUUGAAUAUGAUUUGGAAUCACUGGAAGACUUCAUGUCCAAGAACUUCACGUCCAAGAACUUCAGGGAGUGUCCUGUGAUUCACUUUUCCUCAAGUACAGAUGAAAUAUUACAGCCUUUCCCUCCUUUUCCUGGCUGUCCCAAGCCUAGCAGUGCCCCCAAAUGAACCAGAGUAUUAUUUGUUCAUUGUGUGGUUCAAUAACUGUAGCGAAGUCCUCUAGUCAUGUCAGUCAUGAAUUGUCUCAAAAAGGGAUUCAAAGAACCUGAAUUAAUUA
rnacentral:lncRNA from 1 species